GAUGAACGCUGGCGGCGUGCCUAAUACAUGCAAGUCGAGCGAACGGACGAGAAGCUUGCUUCUCUGAUGUUAGCGGCGGACGGGUGAGUAACACGUGGAUAACCUACCUAUAAGACUGGGAUAACUUCGGGAAACCGGAGCUAAUACCGGAUGAUAUUUUGAACCGCAUGGUUCAAAAGUGAAAGACGGUCUUGCUGUCACUUAUAGAUGGAUCCGCGCUGCCUUAGCUAGUUGGUAAGGUAACGGCUUACCAAGGCAACGAUGCAUAGCCGACCUGAGAGGGUGAUCGGCCACACUGGAACUGAGAAACGGUCCAGACUCCUACGGAGGCAGCAGUAGGGAACCUUCCGCAAUGGGCGAAAGCCUAACGGAGCAACACCGAGUGAGUGAUGAAGGUCUUCGGAUCGUAAAACUCUGUUAUUAGGGAAGAACAUAUGUGUAAGUAACUGUGCACAUCUUGACGGUACCUAAUCAGAAAGCCACGGCUAACUACGUG
rnacentral:rRNA from 1 species